CGAAGCUCGGGGCCGAGGGGAUCGCUGCAGUCUGGGCUGGGGCCCCCGCCGGAUCGAACCGCGGGAAAGGGAAGCAUGCAUGGAACCUCCGCAAACUGGAUGAGAAUCCAUCUUCCACCCGAGCUGGGAAUAGACUUUAUAAAAGAUAUUAUGUAAUGGAGUCUCGGGAAGCUCGAGACGCCUCCAGCAAAGCUGCUGGUGAAUUAAUUAAGUGCUUUUAAACGGUCUAGGAAAUGAAGAGGCUCAUUAAUGAGCACUGAUUAUCAGAGGGUAAUAAGAGAAGAUGUUCACAAUUGGAAAAGUGGGAGUGAGCCUCCCAUUUUCUAGAAGAUCCAGGAGGUGCUACAAAGUGGCCAGAAGCCAAGAGGAUGAGAUUGAUGCUCAAACACAGGAUUUCCUCAUCUUUUAGAGACCAGACUAAGCAUACAGAAGAGAAGCUGAGUGGGCCCAACAUGGUGGCAAUUGCGAGUCAAAGAAAAAAAGUGAACUGGGAGGGAUUACAUAGACCCUGAAAGACAUGUAGAAAUGUAAGAAUCACACAUGGAACAUGGUUUAAUGCUUCCUCCUCUGGGAAGUAUCUUGAGCUUAUUCCCUUAUUUCCCUUAUCUAUCCUAUAACGUUUUAUAAGUACCUCUGCUUGUGGCAUUUAUUAUGUUAUGUUAUAAAUCUUUCUCUAGAUAGCUCUGAACUUGGAUUGACAGCUCAUUGGAGGGUCAUGAUUUAUAAGAAUGCAUGCAUGCGUGAGUGAAUUGAAAAUGAGAGAGAGGGAAAUUACAGACCAAAAGUUAUUUUGAACAUUCUUGUCUGUGGCCUUCUCUUUUGGUUUUAGUAAAUGCUUCUAAAAUAAGCACUUAAAAGGAUAGUUGAGGCAGAAGAGAGUUUUCCGAACUAGGAAGGAAAAAAAAAAAAUCCUACAGGUAGGAAAGGAAAGGGAAUUAGAAUAUACUUCUUUCUGAUGGAGGUCUGGAAGUAGAGAUAGCCUGCCCUCUAUUGGUCGUUGGGGGUUGGAUGGGAGGGGUUUGCACAUUAUUGAAAAUGUCUGCAAAUUCAAGUGGCCAGUUGGGAGCCUAACAGAAAGUGGAAAUGAAAGAGCAGUAGACAGAACUCUGCUGUUAGAGCCCACCUCCCUAUCACAGCCUCCCUACUCUAGUCACACUCUGGGAUGUGUAUGCUCUUUAUGUUUUCUCUUUCUGAAAAGAAAAAGAAAAUGUAGAAGUUGCCUUUAAAGUAUAACAUACACGCUUUUGGAAUGGAGUUGCACAAGAGUAAAAGUCUCGUUUAUUGUGAUGUUGCACAUGUAUUAGAAAGAUCUAUGAAGAGAGCAGGGAACGGGUCUAGCUUCUUUCAUUCUCUUCCCCCCAUUUCUCUCAUCCCCCUCAGCUGGAAUAGUCUCUACAUGAGUUCUCAGUCUAGGCUUGGACCAUUUCAGUGAUGUAGGGGGACACCUAGUUUGGAGACUCAGCCAUCUGAACUCGAACUCUGGAUCUGGUACUUGGGCUAUGUUAUCACCACCUAGUACCUCAUUUUACUAAGGGAGUUCCUGUCUUAUCUAGCCUGCCUGUGUAUGGUAGCUGCUCCAGAACUACUGGAAAAAUAGUAAGUCAGAUUGUUUUGACUGUUCUAGGUCUCUUGCAUGUCCAUAUAAAUUUUAGGAUCAGCUUGUCAAUUUCUGCAAAAAAAUCAGGUGGUAUUUUGAUAGGGAUUCCAUGUAAUCUGUAGAUCAGUUUGGGUAGUAUUGCCAUUUUAACAAUAUUAAGCAUUCCCAUCCAUGAUCAUUUUCUUUCCAUUUAUUAAGGUUUGGCCUAAAUUUGUGCCCCACCUCCCCUCUUCCCCCUCCUCUCCCAAGUUUGAACAUGGCAUUUAUCUGUUCUGAAUUUGCUUCUUCCUUUGUAAAAUGGAGAUAACAAUACCAACCACACAGGGUACUGCGUGAAUAAAAUGGUGGUUCUCCUUUGUGUUGUCA